ACACCGUGAACCAUCAGAUCGUCCUCUCCACCCUCUCAGGGCUGGGUGUCUCAGGGUUGCAUCCUACCUGGCAGGCCGCUCCUACCAGUUGACGUGGAGAGGAUCUAUGUCUACACCACUUACUCUCACUACUGGUGUCCCCCAGGGCUUGGUUCUAGGCCCUCACCUCUUCUCUCUAUAUGUAGCCAGGUGGUGAAAACACGUAGAUGUAUUCAUUUAUAUCCACUAGAUGGCACAGUCCCUUUAAGAUAUCCUUAAAUAAUGUGUGAGAGAGGUUAUAAGAUUGUGCAUGCACAGUGUGUAAGAGUGAGAGCAAGCAAUUACAUCGGAGAGCUGUUGAAAUCCACCGUGGGUCCAACGUUACUUUAGAUGGAUUGACAUGAGGAUGUUAGCUUCUUGCCAGCUGAAUACCAGUGCUCUCAGAACCACGUGGUGGAGUUAAUAACAUUAUUUGAAGCUCCAUUAUGGGUGAGAUGAGGAUCUACUCUUCCAUGAGGGGUUAGGGCAUCACGUGGACAGUGUGUUUAAAGCAGAGCCACUACCGUUCAUGCAUUUCACUUUGUACUUAUUGUACUCAUUGUUUUUAUCCACUUUACGAACAGAUUUAUUUCACUUGAUCGUGAUUUAAACUGAACUUUACUUUACGGUGACUUCAACUUGCGGUGAUUUCCCUCCUACAUUAUCCUAUUUGAAAUGUAAGCUUUGACAGAAUAAAC